rnacentral:lncRNA from 1 species
UCACCAUGUUGGCCAUGCUGGUCUCAAAGUCGUGACCUCAGGUGAUCUUGGGCUCAAAUUUUGAUGGGUAGUAAUGAUCUGGAGAUCUGGAGUUCUCAUUAUGAUCUCUCUUUUUCAUUAAUUCAGUUAGUUUAAAAAGUAUGUAUAGAGAGUGUUUAGCAUUCUUAGCCUUGUAUUGAAAAUAUACAAUGACAACACCUAAGAAUUGGAGGGCAUUAUCUUUGUCUAACAGGUGAUUGUAACUUAGAAAUGCAGAUGAAACAAAAGUAAUCAGCAGUGUAAUGUAAGUCUUUUGCUCAGAGAUACCAUGAUUAGUAGCUUACGGAACAGACACAAGUUAAUUAGCCUACAAAUUUAAAAAACCAAAAUGAAUGAAUAAUAAACAGAUUUGGAAGGUAGAUUAGUGGAGUGAAAACCUCAUGCUUUGAAUCUAAGUGCUACUAUUGAUUGUUACCUAGACUUUUUUAGCUUUAAUGCCUUCAUUUGCAAAAUAGGGAUAAUUAUAGCUACCUUGCAGGGUUGUUGUAAAAAUUAGAUAAAUACAAUGUGUUCUAUAAAUGGGGACUAUAUGUAAUGAAUAUUAUUUUCAUGACUAAAUCUCCAUUGGAGCUUCACAGCCAUUAAGUACUAGUAGUAAUACCCAACAAGGGAAAAUUUGGGUUGUUUAGAGUAGCUGGAAGGGUCUUGUCCUUGCGGAGGUGAGACCUGAGUGAGAGUAGAUUACAGACAAUUGAUGCGAGCCAAAGGGAAGAGUAACUAUUACCAGCCAAAGCUUGGCUUAGAAGAGGGCCUUUCUUUGACCUUACUUAGGAACUGAAGCCCCUAGAUGCUAAAGCCACAUGGCAGGAUUAUAAAUCCAAAACCUGCAUGUUCAUACUCAAUAGUGUGGCAUAUUCUUAUGCAAAUUUUAAGUUGGAUAUAGUUAUUAUUACUGAAAUUUAUUUAGGUAAGAGGAGACCUAUUGCAAGACUAAAGAAGGAAAAUAAUCAGACUGUAUCAAAACUCAUCUGUUAUUGGCCAUAUUUUCAUAUUUUGAAAAAUACACUGGUUUAUCUUCCAAGCACACAGAAAGUUGAGCAUUAGACUUGGUGUUUUCACAGACAUUAUCUCAUUCCACCCUGACAGCAUAGUUGGAAAGUGUGCAUUCUAUCCUCAUUGUAAGUAUGAGGAACAAGGCUUAAAGAGCCCAGUAGGGCCAGCAUCAGAGCCUGGGUUUUAUUCGCCUGUAACUACACCAUGUUACACAGCUCCUGCAUAUCACAUAUCACAGUGGUUUUCUGCUGCUAUUCGUAAAUUUCGUAGGUAACUGAGAGAGAGAGCAUUGAGGGUGAGGGGAUAGAAGUGUGGAGUGAGACAGGUGCUCUUGCGAUGGAGAUGGGGGUAUAUAUGGCACAUAAACCAUGGGAUUGCAAUGGGGACUGGGCAGGGAGGAGACCACAGACCAUCAGGCAACCAAACUCUAAGAUAAUUGUCCAAGGACUAUUAAUUUACCACCUUGGGGCUCCCAGUGAGACCCCAGAAACGCUGAAACCCUAUUUCCUGUUUUCUCUUUUACUUGCUAGAUGUCCCAAUUCUUUUUUAGCAUAACUUGAUGUGACACCAAUGUCUUUGAUACGUGUGUCUGAGAAAGCAGCUACUGAAAACCAUCUUCUCCAGCAAGCCUUCCAGGACUGCAGAUAGUGCAAAGGCAGAAUGAGCUACAGCAAGAAAAUUAUAUGGUCUUGAAGACAUCUUAAAAAAUCCGUUGGACCAGAGUAUAAAGUCAGAAUUUUUCCUUUCUACAGUCGGAAGUGUGAAUAUGAAUGCCUGAUCCUAACCCAAGCAUGGCCGGCUACAAUAAGAACAGGU